AUUGAACGCUGGCGGCGUGCCUAACACAUGCAAGUCGAGCGGUAACAGGUGUAGCAAUACAUGCUGACGAGCGGCGGACGGGUGAGUAACGCUUGGGAAUCUGCCUGUUAGUGGGGACGAACCCGGGGAAACGUCGGGCGUAAUACCGCAUACGCACUACGGUGGAAAGACCGGGGACCGCAAGGCCUGGCGCUAACAGAUGAGCCCAAGUCGGAUUAGCUAGUUGGUAGGGUAACGGCCACCAAGGCGACGAUCCGUAACUGGUCUGAGAGGACGACCAGUCACACCGGAACUGAGACACGGUCCGGACUCCUACGGGAGGCAGCAGUGGGGAA
rnacentral:rRNA from 1 species